rnacentral:rRNA from 1 species
UACGUAGGGGGCGAGCGUUGUCCGGAUUUAUUGGGCGUAAAGGGCUCGUAGGCGGCCUUGCAAGUCGGGCGUAAAAGUCCAGGGCUCAACCCUGGGAUGUCGUCCGAUACUGCAUGGCUAGAGGCCGGUAGGGGGAUCUGGAAUUCCUGGUGUAGCGGUGAAAUGCGCAGAUAUCAGGAGGAACACCGGUGGCGAAGGCGGGAUCCUGGGCCGGACCUGACGCUGAUGAGCGAAAGCUGGGGGAGCGAACAGG